GUUCUAUUAUGUUCAUAGAUAUCUGCCUCAAAAUUAAAAUUCUGAAUAUUUGUUAUAUCUACGUAUCGAUUUUGAGUGGCGCAACCAUUCCCUUCGUACCAUCUACGAUUGAAUCUUGCAGCAAAAAUCGAGGAGCCGAGAUUUAAGCGGGAUACACCCACUACUUCCAUCUACUCAACGCCUCAUUCAUCUCAGACGUAAUUACUCUUGCUUCUCUCUCCCGCUUCUCUCUCCAUAUACGUCUUCUCAAAUUCCAGCAAAUUUGAACAACCCUAGCCGCCACCACCAACGUGUUCGCCGCUAAACCUGAAAUUCAACCGGUGUUACACUCGAUUUUCAGUCGCACGUUCUGUUCCGAACAAUACUCCACCGCGUUAUAAGAAGAGGUAGGGUUUUUCGAAUGUUAUUGUUCUAGUUCAAUUUUCGAUUUUCAACAACCCUUUCUCCAAGUUUCGCCAGUAACACACCACACACACCACAAUUCACCCCGAUUACCGCCAACCUGCAGUAUUUGUUAAUACAGUCUAACUCUCUUUUGUUUGGUUGGAUUCCUUCGCAAUUCUUACAAUGACAAAAAGAGGACGACCAACAAAUUCACAACAAUCCCAGCAGGAGGUGAAGCAGCCGAGGGUGGACAUUGACGAAGCGGUGUAUGGAGCAAGUUUAAUUUAGUCCCCAAGGGUUUAGCAAUCUCGUGGGCUAGGGUGUACUAUGGAGUAAGUAACACAACCGUCGGCAAAGUCCACGAGUUCCAGUCAUACCUCUAGGGUUUAGAUAUCAUAAACGUUAGGGAGUAGUUUUAACUAAUAGACAUUAUGUAAAAAUAUUUCGGUGGAAUGUAUUUUAUUGACCCAGUAAUGGACGAUACGUGUCCUGUAAUGGAUAUGUUGCAAGGACGUUUUUGUUCUGAUUUUAUGAGUAGUUUUAUCUUAUUAACAUAAUGUGAAAAUAUUUCAGUGUAA